UUUGACCACUGAACCAUGAAAAUGAGGUCAAGGUCACAUGACAUCUGCCCGCUAGAUAGGUACACCUUACAAUCAUUCCAUACAACAAAUAUAGUAGACCUAUUGCAUAUAGUAUGAGAAAAAGAGACCAAAAACACAAAAAUUUAACUAUAACCACUGAACCAUGAAAAUGAGGUCAAGGUCAGAUGACACCUGCCAGUUGGACAUGUACACCUUACAGUCCUUCCAUACACCGAAUAUACUAGCCCUAUUGCUUGUAGUAUCUGAGAUAUGGACUUGACCACCAAAACUUAACCUUGUUCACUGAUCCAUGAAAUGAGGUCGAGGUCAAGUGAAAAACUGUCUGACAGACGUGAGGACCUUUCAAGGUACGCACAUCACAAAUAUAGUUAUCCUAUUACUUAUAAUAAAAGAGAAUUCAACAUUACAAAAAUUCUGAACUUUUUUUCAAGUGGUCACUGAACCAUGAAAAUGGGGUCAAGGACAUUGGACAUGUGACUGACGGAAACUUCGUAACAUGAGGCAUCUAUAUACAAAGUAUGAAGCAUCCAGGUCUUCCACCUUCUAAAAUAUAAAGCUUUUAAGAAGUUAGCUAACACCGCCGCCGUAGCCGCCGGAUCACUAUCCCUAUGUCGAGCUUUCUGCAACAAAAGUUGCAGGCUCGACAAAAACGGCAAAAUUUCCUUAAAAUUACCAAUUCUGGGGCAGCAACCCAACAACGGGUUGUCCGAUUCAUCUGAAAAUUUCAGGGCAGAUAGAAAUUGACCUGAUAAACAAUUUUACCCAUGUCAGAUUUGCUCUAAAUGCUUUGGUUUCAGAGAUAUAAGCCAAAUCAAAAUUUUACCCCUUUGUUUUAUUUUUAGCCAUGGCGGCCAUCUUGAUUGGUUGGUCGGGUCACCGGACACAUAUAAUUAUUAGCUCACCUGGCCCGAAGGGCCAAGUGAGCUUUUCUCAUCACUUGGCGUCCGGCGUCCGGCGUCCGUCGUCGUUAACUUUUACAAAAAUCUUCUCCUCUGAAACUACUGGGCCAAAUUAAACCAAACUUGGCCACAAUCAUCAUUGGGGUAUCUAGUUUAAAAAAUGUGUGGCGUGACGGGCCAACCAACCAAGAUGGCCGCCAUGGCUAAAAAUAGAACAUAGGGGUAAAAUGCAGUUUUUGGCUUAUAACUCAAAAACCAAAGCAUUUAGAGCAAAUCUGACAGGGUAAAAUUGUUUAUCAGGUCAAGAUCUAUCUGCCCUGCAAUUUUCAGAUAAAUCGGACAACCCGUUGUUGGGUUGCUGCCCCUGAAUUGGUAAUUUUAAGGAAAUUUUGCUGUUUUUGGUUAUUAUCUUGAAUAUUAUUAUAGAUAAAGAUAAACUGUAAACAGCAAUAAUGUUCAGCAAAGUAAGAUUUACAAAUAAGUCAACAUGACAGAAAUGGUCAGUUGACCCCUUUAGGAGUUAUUGCCCUUUAUAGUCAAUUUUUAACCAUUUUUCGUAAAUCUUAGUAAUCUUUUACAAAAAUCUUCUCCUCUGAAACUACUGGGCCAAAUUAAACCAAACUUGGCCACAAUCACAAUUGGGGGUAUCUAGUUUAAAAAAUGUGUGGCGUGACCCGGCAAACCAACCAAGAUGGCCACCACAGCUAAAAAUAGAACAUAGGGGUAAAAUUCAGUUUUUGGCUUUUAACUCAAAAACCAAAUUUAGAGCAAAUCUGACAUGAAGUAAAAUUGAUUAUCAGGUCAAGAUCUAUCUGCCCUGAAAUUUUCAGAUGAAUCGGACAACCUGUUGUUGGGUUGCUGCCCCUGAAUUGGUUAUUUUAAGGAAAUUUUGCUGUUUUUGGUUAUUAUCUUGAAUAUUAUUAUAGAUAGAGAUAAACUGUAAACAGCAAUAAUGUUCAGCAAAGUAAGAUUUACAAAUAAGUCAACAUGACUGAAAUGGUCAGUUGACCCCUUUAGGAGUUAUUGCCCUUUAUUAUCAAUUUUGAACCAUUUUUCGCAAAUCUUAGUUAUCUUUUACAAAAAUCUUCUCUUCUGAAACUACUGGGCCAAGUUCAUUAUAGAUAGAGAUAAUUGUAAGCAGCAAGAAUGUUCAGUAAAGUAAGAUUUACAAACACAUCACCAUCACCAAAACACAAUUUUGUCAUGAAUCCAUCUGCGUCCUUUGUUUAAUAUUCACAUAGACCAAGGUGAGCGACACAGGCUCUUUAGAGCCUCUAGUCCUAUUACUCAUUUUAAAUUCACAUGACAAAAGAACUUUCAUUUUUUUUCAAGCAGUUGAUGAACAAUGAAAAUGAGGUCAAAUGCAAUGGACAUAUGGCAGAUGAAAUCUUAGUCUUAUAACGAAUCUCAAAAUAAGGUAUGAAGCAUCUAGGACUUCUACCUUAUGCAAUAAAAAGCUUUAUACAAGUACCGGUAGUAUAAACCGCCACAAGAUAGUUAUCCCUAUUUCUAGCCUUCUAUGACUUAUGUCACAGGAAAGUCACAAAUCAUAUUGAGAGUUUCUCACAACAAUUUCCAAUACAUAUGACAAGACCACUAACUGUAUCGGAAAAUAAAUAUAAAGAUGUUUCUAUUUUAACGAUUUAUUGAAUAUAAUAAUCCCUGAGCAUACAAAGUAUAUCACAGUUUUUCAAUAUAGAUGUGGAAUUAGUAUAAUAAAAGGUUGCACAUAUCAUAUUCAAUAAAGAGAGAUGCUGAACAUAUCUUCUCUAAAAUAACAAACUAUAGGUACAUGACCAUUUAAAAUAUGUCUUUUAUAUUGGAGAAUGUGAAAAAUCUUUAACCAUUUCCCUUUAAGAAACUUUUAGUUACUUUCAUCAAAAACAGUUUUUGAAAGAGGAUUCCAAACCUGGUAAAAUAUUUUUUUUUAUUUAUUGCACAAAAAUAUGCACGAUAUCCUUACCCUUCCAGUCCACCUGAUUUCAUCUUCUGAUGUUGGUGGGUUAUCUGAAGACUAUUUUUUUCAUUUUUCAGUGCAAUAUUUGGUGAACUACUGUUGAUCUUUCUGGUAUCUUUUAACCAUGAUGUUUUCUGGUAGUCCUCUUAGUUCUUACUUUUCAUACAAGGUAUCCUUUAGAAAUUAUUUUUUAUUUCUUAUCAAUUGUUUUUUAAUUUCAGACCAUACAAGUUUCUGAAGUUCUAAAUUGCAUAUGAAGUCAAUUAUCCUUCAAUAAAAUCUUUAUAUAUAUAGUUUUUAUUUACAUCACAAUGCCAUUAUCCUUAUUUGAUAUAUGAGCUGGGUUGGAAAGAAAUGCAAAUAAAUAUCAGUUAACCUAUUUCAGGUUGAAAAUAUUUAUACAGAAUGUCUGUAAUUAUUUGAAAAUAAUUUGUUAUCAAAACUUUACAAAACAGCCCAACAUGCAUUUUUCAUGUUUGAAUGUUCCAAUAUUAAAUCACACUAUAUAUGAUACAUGUACACAGGGACUUUCUAUACUAAUAUAGAAAGUCCCUGAUGUACAUGUAUACCUGCACUUGUAUAAGGUUGACUUCUAUUAGUCUCAGCUUAUAUGAAAAACCUCAGACAUUGUAGAUACAACAUUAACAGUAACAAUUUUACUACCCAUUGUCUUUGCCAUUAUGUCUGAAAUGUGCCUUCUUUAUGAUAGGGCAGUCAAUCAGUAUAUUAUCAAAUUCAUUUUCAAGAUUGAUUGUUGACAACUUUAUACCAUUGUAAAUUGAAACGUAACAUUAUACUUAAAAAAAACACCAUUUAAAAUAUUAAGUAUCUGAAUUAAAAAUAUAAUUAUACAAGAGUGCACACACUGAAAUGUCUCGCCUUCUUUACUAAUCAUUGAUAUUAUGUUGAUAGUCCUAAGUAUAAAGCUUUAUUACAACUGUCACAUAAACUUAACAUUAACCAAGAUAGUUAAACAAAGACCAAUGAACCAUGAAAAUGAGGUCAAAGUCAGAUGAACCAAGCCAGGCAGGCAUGUACAGCUAGCAAAGCUUCCAUACAACAAAUAUAGUUGACCUAUUACUUAUAGUUUAAGAAAAAUAGACCAAAACACAAAAACGUAACACUGUGCAAUGAACCGUGCAAUUGAGGUCAUGGUCAAAUAAACCUGCGGGACUGACAUAUAGAUCAUAAUAUAUUUUCAUACACCAAAUAUAGUUGAUUUUUGGCAUAUUAUAUUAGAUAAAAAGACCAAAACUUAACUUUGACCACUGAACCAUGAAAAUGAGGUCAAGGUCAGAUGACAUCUGCCCGCUAGACAUGUACACCUUACAAUCAUUCCAUACAACAAAUAUAGUAGACCUAUUGCAUAAAGUAUGAGAAAAACAGACCAAAACACAAAAACUUAACUAUAACCACUGAACCAUGAAAAUGAGGUCAAGGUCAGAUGACACCUGCCAGUUGGACAUGUACACCUUUAAGUCCUUCCAUACACCAAAUAUACUAGCCCUAUUGCUUAUAGUAUCUGAGAUAUGGACUUGACCACCAAAACUUAACCUUGUUCACUGAUCCAUGAAAUGAGGUCGAGGUCAAGUGAAAUCUGUCUGACGGCAUGAGGACCUUGCAAGGUACGCACAUACCAAAUAUAGUUAUCCUAUUACUUAUAAUAAG
rnacentral:lncRNA from 1 species